ACGUGGGUGACAUACCCGUUCAGAUGGGGAAUAGCUAUUAGAAAUAGUAGAUAAUACCGAAUACGAGCACAGGGGUUAGAGAUCUGUGAGGAAAGGAGCUAAGGCUCCGCUGAAGAAUGGCCUGCGCCAUUAGCUAGUUGGUGAGGUAAGAGCCCACCAAGGCGAUGAUGGGUAUCCGGCCUUAGAGGGUGAACGGACACAUUGGGACUGAGAUACGGCCCAGACUCCUACGGGAGGCAGCAGCUAAGAAUAUUCCGCAAUGGACGAAAGUCUGACGGAGCGACGCCGCCGUGGAUGAAGAAGGCCGGAAGGUUGUAAAAUCCUUUUGAAACUGAAGAAUAAGCGUUGUAGGGAAUGACAGCGUGGUGACAGUAGGUUUUGAAUAAGCAACGGCUAAUUACGUGCCAGCCGCCGC
rnacentral:rRNA from 1 species